rnacentral:snRNA from 1 species
GCAAAUCGUUCGUCUGAC